rnacentral:rRNA from 1 species
AUGUAUGGCGAGUCUAGCAAACAUGAAAACCUUGAGUGCAUACUACAAGAUCAAAGUGCAAACCCAAGUGUUGUAUCACUGAAUUUUUUGAAAGAGAUCACAAACAACUUUUCCGAUGAGCGAGUACUCGGUAAAGGUGGUUCUAGUGUGGUAUAUAAGGGUGUGCUACAAAGUGGGGAAAUAAUCGCUGUGAAGAGACUUGAGCCAUCAAUGGCUGGUUCUCAGAGUUUAUUUCAGAACGAGGUUGAUCAUCUUAUGAGGCUUCAACACCCAAAUAUUGUGCGAUUUCGGGGCUACUGCCAUGAAACAGUGUGGUUAUAUACAGAAUUCGAAGGGCAAAAAGUUUUUGCUGAGAUCUCAGAAAUGUUGCUUUGCUUUGAGUAUCUCCCUAAAGGAAGCCUUGAUGUGCAUCUUUCAGGUGGAUCCUCUGAAUUUGAUUGGCACACGCGCUACAAAAUAAUCGAGGGGAUUUGCAAUGGCUUACACUAUCUUCACGACCAAAUUGAUAAGUCUAUUCUUCACUUGGACCUAAAGCCCGCGAACAUAUUGCUUGAUGACAAUUUGGCACCCAAAAUUACAGAUUUUGGGCUGUCAAGACAGUUUGAUCAGCGUCAAACUAUGUCCUCUCCAAAUCGUGUUGGUACAUUAGGCUACAUGGCUCCGGAACGCAUCGAUGAAGGCAUAAUCACACCUAAGUCAGACAUAUUCAGUUUGGGUGUGAUAAUAAUGGAGAUAAUAACGGGACACAGGCACUACCCAGGUGUUUCUGGAACAUCUUCCGAGGACUUUAUUGAGCUUGAACUUAAAAAAUGGAGAAACACAUUGGAGAAAGCACAGGGGUACACAAAUCUAGAAAUGGAUUGCGAACAGAUAAAAAGAUGCAUUCAGAUAGGUCUAAUCUGUGUGAAUCCUGAGUGGACCGAAAGGCCUACAACAACAAAAAUUAUCAAGAUGCUUCAAGGAUUGGAAAGUUUGGAUCGUAACAUUAGCGAUGAGGUAGAGUCAUCGGCAGAUCAGAUCUCAAAUGGACUCAAAAAGCACAGCGAUUGCUUUGGGGUUACUGAAGAAGGAAAGCUGUCUCCUAAAAAUACAUUAUGUAUUGGGAUAUUGGAGCAAGCUGAAAGAAGGGAACCAGAACUUGGGGAAGCAUCGGUUUCUCUUGCAAUGGCUGGUGACUGCCUACAUGGAAAGUUGUUGUACCUUGAAAACCGAGUUGCUUUGGCGAUGAUAUUGUUCCCAGCCGAGGCAAGAGUAGCAAUGGAAGUUGCUCAAGUGAAUGGUACUUUGGAAUUUACCCUUGGUUCUAGUGCAAAUCCACUUACGGAGAUACAACGGACAACCUUUGAUCUAAAUGAAACUCCUUUCAAAAUGAAGGAUGUGUACUUAGCUCGGAUGAGAGUGCUCUCCAAAACAGUUGAACUUGGCAAACGCUUCUUCCCGCGUUGUUCGGAUGUGCUGGAGAAGAUGAUGGAUGAUGAACCAGGGCUGGCUGCCCUCGGAAGCGAUUACAACCUCUGA